GACGAACGCUGGCGGCGUGCUUAACACAUGCAAGUCGAACGAUGAAGCUGGAGCUUGCUCUAGCGGAUCAGUGGCGAACGGGUGAGUAACACGUGAGCAAUCUGCCCUUGACUCUGGGAUAACUGCGGGAAACUGUAGCUAAUACCGGAUACGAGACUCGGAGGCAUCUCUGGGGCUGGAGAGAAUUUCGGUCAAGGAUGAGCUCGCGGCCUAUCAGCUAGUUGGUGAGGUAAUGGCUCACCAAGGCGACGACGGGUAGCCGGCCUGAGAGGGUGACCGGCCACACUGGGACUGAGACACGGCCCAGACUCCUACGGGAGGCAGCAGUGGGGAAUAUUGCACAAUGGGCGAAAGCCUGAUGCAGCAACGCCGCGUGAGGGAUGAAGGCCUUCGGGUUGUAAACCUCUUUUAGCAGGGAAGAAGCGAAAGUGACGGUACCUGCAGAAAAAGCACCGGCUAACUACGUGCCAGCCGCCGCGGUAAGAC
rnacentral:rRNA from 1 species